UACGUAGGGCGCAAGCGUUAUCCGGAAUUAUUGGGCGUAAAGAGCUCGUAGGCGGUUUGUCGCGUCUGCUGUGAAAACUGGGGGCUCAACCCCCAGCCUGCAGUGGGUACGGGCAGACUAGAGUGCGGUAGGGGAGAUUGGAAUUCCUGGUGUAGCGGUGGAAUGCGCAGAUAUCAGGAGGAACACCAAUGGCGAAGGCAGAUCUCUGGGCCGUAACUGACGCUGAGGAGCGAAAGCAUGGGGAGCGAACAGG
rnacentral:rRNA from 1 species